rnacentral:rRNA from 1 species
UACGAAGGGGGCUAGCGUUGCUCGGAAUCACUGGGCGUAAAGCGCACGUAGGCGGAUUGUUAAGUCAGGGGUGAAAUCCUGGAGCUCAACUCCAGAACUGCCUUUGAUACUGGCGAUCUCGAGUCCGGGAGAGGUGAGUAGGAACUGCGAGUGUAGAGGUGAAAUUCGUAGAUAUUCGCAAAGAACACCAGUGGCGAAGGCGGCUCACUGGCCCGGUACUGACGCUGAGGUGCGAAAGCGUGGGGAGCAAACAGG